UUCUGGCGUCAAGCCGCAACUUUUCGUAAGGACCUCAGAGUGAUCGAAAGAAUGCUGGCUGCUCAUUUUUGUAGGACUUUCCGGUAACUCGUGUUUCGAACGAAGCAGGGACGGACAGCCGGGCCAAGCUACGUUUUCUCCAGCAGGCGAGCCUCUGCCGUGAAGCCGCAGCCUUUUCGAAGGCGCCACAAUUUGACUGAAAGAAUGCUGCCUGCUCGUACAUGCUGAACUUCCCCGACGCUCAUGGUUCGAAGGACAAGGGGACGAACAGCUGGGCCAUGUUCCUCUUCCCAAGAGACAAGUUACGAGCCAGCCAGUGUGCAGGGAGUCGACGCAGCUGCGUGGACGUGUGGGGUUCGGCGUUCAAGCUAUGGCCUCCACACCACAUCGAGGGCGCUUUUACGUCGCAGCGCUACUGUACUUACGCCCACACCGCUUUCCCGGAUGCUGAUUUUGUGCCCCAACAUGACCAUGCGCCGGUGCAGACCGCGAAGAUUGUGAAAGAGCACCUAGAAACACGAAGAGUCAAUCCGCUCUCCUGGCCGGCCAAGGACGCUGAUGAGAACAUCUGCGAAUUUAUUCGGCGCCUGCGGAGGAGCUGUGGGUAGCUGUUUGCCAAGAGUGGAAGCAUCUUAGAGCAAGUAACUUUGUGCCUGCCCUGCACUCUUCAAUUCGGUCUGGAACGGCAGCAGUUGCUGCUGAGAAAGGAGAAAGAAGAAAGUUUUUCAAUAUUUCUUGAAAUGCGCGCAAAAUAAAAGUUACGAUGUUUGUGUUCCA